rnacentral:lncRNA from 1 species
GGUACCAUUGCUAGAUGGUCACUUCGAUUAGUAUAGGAAUUGGUUCCUGUGCUACCGGCUUAGAUUCGAACCUGCGGGGUCACACACAUUAGAGGUUCCUAUCUGAUCUGAUGGCUGAUGUAGAAUCCUACAUGUUUGGAACUUAGUGAUCGAGAAUCAAGAUUCUUUGAUCAUGAGUUCCACAUAUUAUGGGUACCGGGGUCAAGAGUCCCACUGGUUGGGACUUUUCGAUCAGGGUUACAUAUCGAUGAAUUCUGAUGCCUGAUUGCCCAUC